AACGAACGCUGGCGGCAUGCCUAACACAUGCAAGUCGAACGAGACCUUCGGGUCUAGUGGCGCACGGGUGCGUAACGCGUGGGAACCUGCCCUUAGGUUCGGAAUAACUCCCCGAAAGGUGUGCUAAUACCGGAUAAUGUCUUCGGACCAAAGAUUUAUCGCCUUUGGAUGGGCCCGCGUUGGAUUAGCUAGUUGGUAGGGUAAAAGCCUACCAAGGCGACGAUCCAUAGCUGGUCUGAGAGGAUGAUCAGCCACACUGGGACUGAGACACGGCCCAGACUCCUACGGGAGGCAGCAGUGGGGAAUAUUGGACAAUGGGCGAAAGCCUGAUACAGCAAUGCCGCGUGAGUGAUGAAGGCCUUAGGGUUGUAAAGCUCUUUUACACGGGAUGAUAAUGACAGUAACGGGAGAAUAAGCACCGGCUAACUCCGUG
rnacentral:rRNA from 1 species